GACCGCUCCGGUGGCUUAGUGGUUACAACGUCUGCCUAGGAUGCGGGAGGUUGCGGGUUCGAACCACGUCUGAGUCA